CAGUAGCCGCGGGAAUACGUAGGGGGCAAGCGUUGUCCGGAUUCAUUGGGCGUAAAGAGCGUGUAGGCGGCUCGGUAAGUCCGCUGUGAAAGUCCAGGGCUCAACCCUGGAAUGCCGGUGGAAACUGUCGAGCUAGAGUCCGGAAGAGGCGAGUGGAAUUCCUGGUGUAGCGGUGAAAUGCGCAGAUAUCAGGAGGAACACCAAUGGCGAAGGCAGCUCGCUGGGACGGUACUGACGCUGAGACGCGAAAGCGUGGGGAGCAAACAGGAUUAGAUACCCCAGUAGUCCCUGUCUCUUAUAA
rnacentral:rRNA from 1 species